GAUGAACGCUAGCGGGAGGCCUAACACAUGCAAGCCGAGCGGUAUUGUUUCUUCGGAACUGAGAGAGCGGCGUACGGGUGCGUAACACGUGUGCAACCUGCCUUUAUCUGGGGGAUAGCCUUUCGAAAGGAAGAUUAAUACUCCAUAAUAUAUUGAACGGCAUCGUUUAAUAUUGAAAGCUCCGGCGGAUAGAGAUGGGCACGCGCAAGAUUAGCUAGUUGGUGAGGUAACGGCUCACCAAGGCGAUGAUCUUUAGGGGGCCUGAGAGGGUGAUCCCCCACACUGGUACUGAGACACGGACCAGACUCCAACGGGAGGCAGCAGUGAGGAAUAUAGGUCAAUGGGUGCAAGCCUGAACCAGCCAGCCCGCGUGAAGGACGACUGCCCUAUGGGUUGUAAACUUCUUUUGUAUAGGGAUAAACCUACCCUCGAGAGGGUAGCUGAAGGUACUAUACGAAUAAGCACCGGCAAACUCCGU
rnacentral:rRNA from 1 species